CGUAGGGUGCAAGCGUUAAUCGGAAUUACUGGGCGUAAAGCGUACGCAGGCGGCUUUGCAAGACAGGUGUGAAAUCCCCGGGCCUAACCUGGGAACUGCAUUUGUGACUGCAUGGCUAGAGUCUGUCAGAGGGGGUGGAAUUCGACGUAGGUAGCAGUGAAAUGCGUAGAGAUGUGGAAGAACACCGAUGGCGAAGGCAGCCCCCUGGGAUGAGACUGACGCUCAUGUACGAAAGCGUGGGGAGCAAACAGGAUUAGAUACCCCAGUAGUCCACGCUGUAAACGAUGUACAUUCGGUGCUAACAAGUAUCGACCCUUGCUAGUACCAAAGCUAACGCGUUAAAUGUACCGCCUGGGGAGUACGGCCGCAAGGCUA
rnacentral:rRNA from 1 species